GAAUUUUGAGAGGUUGAAAAAAAAUCAAGAAUUAUCUUAGGUGUGAGGUGUGGUUUUGGAUUAAGGCAUUUUGUAACUUGUUUUCUAAUGUUUUUUGGGGUCAGUUUUGUUUUACAUUUCUUUGUAAUGAGUUGAUCUUUUUAUGUACUACUUCUGAAUGACUUAUUUUCCUUUUUAAUCUGUUCCAAAAUAAAUAAUAUAUUUUUAAAUUUGAUAAUAAUUCAAUUUUAAAUUCUUCAUUUAACAUUUUUACAUUCAAUGAGAAUCUUUUAUAGCCACACAAACGAUAUGACCUCAUAAACUUUUUACCCUUUAAAUUUAUUGAUCAUUUUAUGUAUUUGCCUAUGUCUAAGCUUACAACUCCAUAUUUCCUUUGCGAUCACAUAUGUUUUUCAAUUGGAGCAACGAUAAAGUUGUUUGUGUCACUUUGGAUUCUGCAUUUGUUUUUACCAUAUUCUUUGUGACGAUUCGAAACCUCGAAAUUUAAUUUUUUAGGGCAAAAAGGUAAUUUGAUUAGACCUAUAGGUUCGAGCCGUCAUUGCUUUUGUGUGACGAUAGCUCAUGAGUUCGAGCUGUGGAAGCAGACACUAAUAUUUGUUCUAAGGUAGGCUUACAUCACUUCCCUCGGGGGUGCGGCGGCUCUUCCUCCGACACUCCGUGAACGUGGGAUAUCUCGUGCAUCGGACAGGUCAUGAGUUCAAACUAUGAAAGCGGAUACUAAUACUUGUAUUAGGGUAGGCUUACAUCACAUCCUUUGGAAUAUUUGUUCUAAGGUAGGCUUACAUCACUUCCCUCGGGGGUGCGGCGGCUCUUCCUCCGACACUCCGUGAACGUGGGAUAUCUCGUGCAUCGGACAGGUCAUGAGUUCAAACUAUGAAAGCGGAUACUAAUACUUGUAUUAGGGUAGGCUUACAUCACAUCCUUUGGAAUAUUUGUUCUAAGGUAGGCUUACAUCACUUCCCUCGGGGGUGCGGCGGCUCUUCCUCCGACACUCCGUGAACGUGGGAUAUCUCGUGCAUCGGACAGGUCAUGAGUUCAAACUAUGAAAGCGGAUACUAAUACUUGUAUUAGGGUAGGCUUACAUCACAUCCUUUGGAGUGCAGCUUUUCCGACGCUGCACGAACGUGGAAUAUCUCGUGCAUCGGGCCCCCGGUCCUUUAGA
rnacentral:lncRNA from 1 species